UGGUAGAGCUCAGUUGGUAGAACAUGGGACCCUUGAUCUCAGGACUGUGGGUUUGAGCCCCACACUGGGUGCCAA